GCAACAUUCAGGAUAUGGACUUUUCAAAAAUGUGAUGGAGUCUUAGGGCAGGAACUAAGUUGGUUUCCUGCCAGAUCUGAGCUGCUGCCUGGGGAAAACAAGCAAUAGAGAAAAGGCUACAAAGAGAAUAAUUUUUUUUUUCUUUUGACAGCUGGCUAAUCUAUCUGAAUUUGGAAGGUCAUAGUCAGAAGGCAUAGAAGGAGUAAUAAUAGCAAAGUGUGUUUCAGAGAAUGCCCUGCUGCUUUAUGGCUAUUAGGAAGAUACCACAGGAAUUAAUUUUUAAAAAUAGCUCAGCGUUACAGGCGCAAGGGGUGUGACUGAGGCGGCAGGAAAAUGUUCUAGCUUCUUUGUUCCUAAAGUCAAAAAAUUCCUGUUUGCUUAAUAUUUAUCUCGAGAAGUAAAUUGGCCUCUCGUGCCAGAGAAAACAGUGUUUGGGUUCAGCAAGUCCUGAGGCAAAGAAACUUUAUUAUUGUUUGGGCAGGAUCUGGAAAAUGCUGCCAGGUGCAGUUCUUGAUACCCAACUUCAAUGUUCCUUGUAGAUGGGGAAGCCUAAACUUAAAAGUAUGCAGCUGAGGAGAAAGGCUUUGAUAGCCUGUUUUUCAUCAAAAGCUCAAGACCACAGCAGCAGCAGAGAGCUGGAAGAUGAAGAGAAAAACUUGAGGUCUUGGAACAAACUGGAGGAUAAAGUGCUUUUGGAGAAACUCUGGAAGCUUUGUGAGGAGGAGGAAGAGGAAAAGUAAGCGUGGGGGGGUGAGAGGUACAGAAGGUGGGAAGCUGUACCCCCACAUGCUGUGCUGUGGUGAACACACAGCUCCAAAGCCCACACACACUUCCCGUGGACAAGCUAAAGGAAUCCCCUAAACUAUUAGCAGUAAUCAUGCAUGUUUGAGAGAGAACACUCAACUCUGGGACAUGGAAACUGAAGAGCUCCAACAACUUUGCUCCUCCAACUGAUCCAAGCAAUUGAGGUAAGAUGGCAACAUUCUUUGAGCCAGCUCAGAAAUUCGGAGAGAUGGAAGUCACAGUGUCUCUCUUGGACACCCCUCUGAAUCCUCUUAAUCAAUUUCUUGCAGUUAUUUUCCUAAUUUAAAACAUAACAGGCACUGGUCACAGCUUAUUUGCAUUUAGAUCUGUACUCAUAUUGUGCAUGUGGAUGCCAGGAUGGUCUUUGCUAAGGAUUCUGGUGGUGUCAUCACCAGCUGAGGUGGCACACAUUACAUGAGCUCCCAAACAAGGAGCUUUGUCUUUCCAGGCGUUUGCCAAACUCAAAAUGAAUGCAUCAAGAGUAUUCAGGAUGAGUCUGAAAUGAGAACAUGGGAAAUGCAUGGCAAGUUAAAACCUAGGAGAAAAGUGUGACAGAGGACUAUUCCUGGCCUGAAAAGAAGUUGCAGGUUUACACCAACACAUUGUUCAACUUCUUUUUUUGUUUUUAAUUGAUGUGGAAAAUCUGAAGUCAUAAAACACUGUGUGACUACAGGAUGUCAGGAUAAAACAGCAGGAGAACCUCAGGCCAUAUUUCCAUCCCUUUCUUGAGGCUCAUAUGGAAAGGGCAUCCUGGCUGAGGUGUGUGGCUGGAGGGAGCUGCCUGAAAAGCACCUGGGGAGCAAGAACUGGAGAAGGAUCCUCACAACAGAACCUCUGGGUCACCUCACCUUGUCUGUUCAAAAGGUGGAGAGAAAACAACACCCAGAGUCACAGCACAACCAGCUUUGGAGGUGAAUGACCUACAGCCACAGCAGCUCCCCCAGAGCUCAAACACACUGCUGAACUCCUGUCUCAUCCUGCAGCUGGCACAAGGCUUGACAAGGCCAUGUUCUAUUCUAGCAAUGAAAUGCACUGAUGAAACAGAGGCCUGAAUCGCCACCCUGUCACCUGUGUUAUCUCUGUCUACUUCCUGAAUUAAUCUGAAUUAAUUCAGAUUCUGGGUUCUAGAGACCAUAGGAACCAUUGUAAAAAUGGCAAAAAACUCUGACGGUCUUGCAGCAAUAGGGGGUUUCAUUUUAACCAGGGAAUCUUAAUCCCAGAAAGUUGUAGUAAUAUGAUGAACCAGACUAAAAUGUGUUAAUCUGAUAUUCCUUGGCAUCUAACAGCAGUUUGUGCCACUUGAAUCAGAGUGAGGAAUGUUGGUAGCUGCUCCUUCUUGUAAAAUGGACAUCUAAUACUGCAGAAGCUCUUAAAUUACCUGUGAGACUUCUGAACAAUAAAUAGAGUUGUCUCUUCCUAA